CAGCUCACCGGGGGAACACAGCUGCAGGCGGGCUGCAGCCUCAGCCCUGAGCUCUGGGGUUGGGGACGAGUUGGGGAGCAGCACAGAACUGGAAGGACGGCCAUUGGGUAUGAGGGAGUCCCACGACAACCUUUGCUCGCUGGAGGUGCCACAACGAUCCCAACAACAAAUGGGACAGAGGGGAACCAGGACAUGUCGGUAGGACUGCCAGUUAAGAAAUGAAAACAAACUGCUUAAUCAGAAUAUCGAUUUGCUGCUUUCAUGUGGCUUUGUAGCCCAGCUCAGGGCACCCCACGCACAGCAGCUGACCCCAGAGGUGUGAAUGAAGCCAGUGAGAGCAGCGCAGUGGGGUAAUCAGAUGUGUGUGAAUGGAAGCAAUUUUACAACGUGCUCUAUUCUUUUGCCACUUGAAGUCACAAAUGUGUUUUCAGGUGACAUCUCUAAGACCCAAAAAGCCACUUAUAGGGAACAGCAGAUAUGGUAAAAAUAAAAAAUGGGGAAUAUGCUUUGGUAUGCCUGAAGCAAAAGCGAUGCAUGAUGCUGAAAACAACUAAACGUCCAGAAAGACAGACAAGUGGAAAGGUAGCAAGUUUUAUUGUAUUCAGUGCAGUGAAAAGCUUGUACUUUGGAGUUUGGAUGGUGACACUGGCUGGUUCUGUGCCCAGUGAACCCUACCUGCCCGUGAGCAUUCCGCCUCCCGAGCACAGAAUGCCGUCACUGCUGAGGGACAGCUAAAUGAGAGCCUUCUGAAGCUGGGCAAGGGGAACAGAGCCAGGAGCAAAGAGUCACACUUUAAUUUAUACCCACUAUGUCAGUUUGAGCUCAUAGUGCAGUACACUCAGAUACACAUAUCCAUGUCCCACUGCCAUCCCUGAAUGCCCUUCUUUGAGCCACAGACCAUCUUCUGUCCCUUCCCAGGACUGUGGAGAGGACAAACGAUGAAUGAGGUGAUGAAGGAUCUCGUGGCAAUCGCUUUAGAAUAGCUAACAUCUGCACAAAAUUAGUCUGGAUAUUAAUAAGCUGGCAGUUCCCCAACUCGGCUGCAUUAACACUGUGCACAGCCCAGGACUUCGCCCUGUGUGUUCAGGGAGGUGGGCUGCAGGGCGUCAGGGCUGGCACUGAGAGCGGGCAUCACAGCCCAUAGCCAUACCCAUAUGCUCUGGGCUCUGUGUAGAGACUUUGCAUUCAUCACACAUGGAAUGCACUCGAAUACCUUCUUAGAUGAAGGGGGUUUUGCUCAUCCAAUGCCCUCAUGAGCCCAGGAAGAUUAGAAGCCUGCUGUGCUGCAACACUAAUACAGCAUUUGCUGUCCAUGUCUUGCGAGCACUGUCUUCUGAUUGAAAGCCCAACAAGACAUUUUCCAUUUUAUGUUAGAAAUACAACUCAAACGUAACUAAUUCUAACCUUCAUCCCUCAUCUGAAUGUCAUACUUCUUAAUUUGCAGAUAAACUGGCUUUUAAAUUAACAGAUGUGGCAAAGCCACUGAUGGUAACUUUGUGGUUACGGAUAUUAGGAACUCUCGGCUCUCAAAGUUUCUGGAAGAAGACAAGAAGUUAACAGUUCAGCUCAAUAUAUAAACAGAGAUAUAUGGAAUCCAAGACAGAAAUGAGGUGCUUACUCACUUUUAAAUCUUUAGUCCAGGAAAUAGGGGAAUGACAGCAUCUACUUAUUGACCUGAAGUGAAAGCCCAGAAGAAGAGACCAGACAGAGCUUGCUUCAGCUAAAAUUAAUGUUAAAUGCUCACCAUUUGUUGUGGGCAUUUUGUCAUACAGACGUCGGGCAAACUUCACAAACCUCACUUCAUCCUGCCAUGCCUUAAGGACCUUGUUUUGCCAUUGGAUGCCAAGAGGCAUUGUUGGGGGUGCUCAGCAGCCCCUGUUGCUGCAGCUGCAGCGAGCGGCUCACUGCUCUGCUUGAGAUGCCUUCUGCAGAGGUGCCAGGCCACAGCCACCUGCACUGGUAAAGCUGAGUGCAAACCAGUGCACUGGAGAGAGGACGAGCUAUGGGAGAGGAGCAGCAGGAUGCUCAUGAGCAGCUCUGACACACCGGUGUUUUGCAACAAGAAAUGAACGCUGCGUGUAUAGGCCACUUACAGUAAUGGGAGUGGGAGUUCUGAGAGGAUAUCUUGAGUUCAAUCAAUUAGUUUCCCUCCCAAGGCACAAAUAGAUGCAAAUUUUACUCAUUUACAUUUCUCCUGCUGACAUAUUUCCUGGUGUUAAUCCAAGUUCUUUCGCUUAUGUGCCCAUGUUUCUUCUUUUAAUGCCGCAGUCCUGUAGUUACUGUCUCUCUUUCUCUCUUCCCCCGUAUUUUCUGCACUCCCAGAUGGCCUGGUUUGCUUUUUCACCUCUCCACUUUUCCCACCCCCUGUUGCAGACAGCAAAAACAACGGAAUAAAAAAUUAAAGGGGUGCACAGCCCAGCACUCGGGGAAGGCAAAUCUCUGUCCCUUGAGGCUGACAGAAGCUGAACACACUGGCUGGGUGGGAUAGAUACACAGUGUGUGCCCAUGGCCUUUUGAAACAUAUUCUUUAAGUGCAUUUUGGGCAACAAACGUAAGCUGUGCUUUUUAAGCCUGAAUCUGUCCGCAGGAUAACGUUAUGUGGAUGAACAGGGCACAUGAAUGGCAGGAGAUGGUUUGACCUUAGAGGUGGUUUCCUCUGCCAGCUCUGAGACUGUGUGAUCUCAGAAAACUGUCACUGUGUCACCCGCUCUCUCAAGAUGAAAUAAAUGGCC
ensembl:lncRNA